rnacentral:lncRNA from 1 species
GAAGAUGGAAUAACUAAUUCUUCCAGAAGGAUGAGCCAAAAAGACAUCAUAGAGGUGGAGCUCUUUGAGCUAGAUCUUAAAAGGCAAGAUGGGUGGAGUGUGAAACAGAGGAUUCCAGUGAAGGACAAAUCACCCUGGUGCCUUUGACUUCUGCAGAGCAGGCUGGAAUGCUCCGAUUCUAUUAAAGUGCUUGGCACCCCAUGGACCUUAAUAAAAUACUCUGGACAAACUG